rnacentral:rRNA from 1 species
GAUGAACGCUGGCGGCGUGCCUAAUACAUGCAAGUCGAGCGAACAGAURAGGAGCUUGCUCCUUUGACGUUAGCGGCGGACGGGUGAGUAACACGUGGGUAACCUACCUAUAAGACUGGGAUAACUUCGGGAAACCGGAGCUAAUACCGGAUAAUAUUUCGAACCGCAUGGUUCGAUAGUGAAAGAUGGUUUUGCUAUCACUUAUAGAUGGAYCCGCGCCGUAUUAGCUAGUUGGUAAGGUAACGGCUUACCAAGGCAACGAUACGUAGCCGACCUGAGAGGGUGAUCGGCCACACUGGAACUGAGACACGGUCCAGACUCCUACGGGAGGCAGCAGUAGGGAAUCUUCCGCAAUGGGCGAAAGCCUGACGGAGCAACGCCGCGUGAGUGAUGAAGGUCUUCGGAUCGUAAAACUCUGUUAUUAGGGAAGAACAUACGUGUAAGUAACUAUGCACGUCUUGACGGUACCUAAUCAGAAAGCCACGGCUAACUACGUGCCAGCAGCCGCGGUAAUACGUAGGUGGCAAGCGUUAUCCGGAAUUAUUGGGCGUAAAGCGCGCGUAGGCGGUUUUUUAAGUCUGAUGUGAAAUCCCACGGCUCAACCGUGGAGGGUCAUUGGAAACUGGAAAACUUGAGUGCAGAAGAGGAAAGUGGAAUUCCAUGUGUAGCGGUGAAAUGCGCAGAGAUAUGGAGGAACACCAGUGGCGAAGGCGACUUUCUGGUCUGUAACUGACGCUGAUGUGCGAAAGCGUGGGGAUCAAACAGGAUUAGAUACCCUGGUAGUCCACGCCGUAAACGAUGAGUGCUAAGUGUUAGGGGGUUUCCGCCCCUUAGUGCUGCAGCUAACGCAUUAAGCACUCCGCCUGGGGAGUACGACCGCAAGGUUGAAACUCAAAGGAAUUGACGGGGACCCGCACAAGCGGUGGAGCAUGUGGUUUAAUUCGAAGCAACGCGAAGAACCUUACCAAAUCUUGACAUCCUUUGACCGCUCUAGAGAUAGAGUUUUCCCCUUCGGGGGACAAAGUGACAGGUGGUGCAUGGUUGUCGUCAGCUCGUGUCGUGAGAUGUUGGGUUAAGUCCCGCAACGAGCGCAACCCUUAAACUUAGUUGCCAGCAUUCAGUUGGGCACUCUAAGUUGACUGCCGGUGACAAACCGGAGGAAGGUGGGGAUGACGUCAAAUCAUCAUGCCCCUUAUGAUUUGGGCUACACACGUGCUACAAUGGACAAUACAAAGGGCAGCGAAACCGCGAGGUCAAGCAAAUCCCAUAAAGUUGUUCUCAGUUCGGAUUGUAGUCUGCAACUCGACUACAUGAAGCUGGAAUCGCUAGUAAUCGUAGAUCAGCAUGCUACGGUGAAUACGUUCCCGGGUCUUGUACACACCGCCCGUCACACCACGAGAGUUUGUAACACCCGAAGCCGGUGGAGUAACCAUUUUGGAGCUAGCCGUCGAAGGUGGGACAAAUGAUUGGGGUGAAGUCGUAACAAGGUAGCCGUAUCGGAAGGUGCGGCUGGAUCACCUCCUUUCU